rnacentral:lncRNA from 1 species
CUUGCUUCUCCUUUGCCUUCUGCCAUGAUUUUAAGUUUCCCGAGGCCUCCCCAGCCAUGUGGAACUAUUUCCUCCUUCUUCACCCCUGAAACCAUAUCCAAAGAAGCCCCCAAACCAAAAGGAUGUUAUUAAAUUUCCAGAAUGGAAUGAUCUCCCACCAGGCACUUCACAAGAGAACAUCCCAGUGAGGCCAGUUGUGAUGAAUUCUGAGAUGUGGUACAAGCGUCACAGUAUUGCAAUUGGAGAGGUGCCAGCUUGCCGUCUUGUCCACCGCAGACAGCUGACAGAGGCCAAUGUAGAAGAGAU